rnacentral:rRNA from 1 species
UGGUCUAGCCUUACUAUCAUCUGUUUCUCAUUUUACACAUGCAAGUCUCAGCACCCCAGUGAGAACGCCCUUUUAACCUACACCAGGAGAAGGAGCUGGCAUCAGGCACAAUCCCUGCCCAUAACACCUAGUCUCACCACACCCCCAAGGGUAAUCAGCAGUGAUAAAUCUUAAAUAUAAGCGACAGCUUGAUUUAGUUAGAGAAAAGAGGGCCGGCUAACCCGGUGCCAGCCGCCGCGGCUACACCGUGGGGCCCGAGCUGAUAGUCACCGGCGUUAAGCGUGAUUAAAGCCCUCAACAAUUAGGGUUAAAUUAAUAUUUAGUAGUGAUAAGCUUGUUAUUAAGAAAACCAUAAACGAAAGUUACCCUAAUUACACUUGAAUCCACGACAACUGGGAAAACAAACUGGGAUUAGAUACCCCCACUA